CCUACGAGUGGCAGCAGUGGGGAAUAUUGGACAAUGGGCGAAAGCCUGAUCCAGCCAUGCCGCGUGUGUGAAGAAGGCCUUCGGGUUGUAAAGCACUUUCAGUGGGGAAGAAAGCCUUGGGGCUAAUACCCUCGAGGAAGGACAUCACCCACAGAAGAAGCACCGGCUAACUCCGUGCCAGCAGCCGCGGUAAUACGGAGGGUGCGAGCGUUAAUCGGAAUUACUGGGCGUAAAGCGCGCGUAGGCGGUCUGAUAAGCCGGUUGUGAAAGCCCCGGGCUCAACCUGGGAACGGCAUCCGGAACUGUCAGGCUAGAGUGCAGGAGAGGAAGGUAGAAUUCCCGGUGUAGCGGUGAAAUGCGUAGAGAUCGGGAGGAAUACCAGUGGCGAAGGCGGCCUUCUGGACUGACACUGACGCUGAGGUGCGAAAGCGUGGGUAGCAAACAGGAUUAGAUACCCCUGUAGUC
rnacentral:rRNA from 1 species